AUGACUCUGACCGACAUGACAUCACCAGAGAGGAGCAGCGGGGGAUGUGCGUCAUCGUGGCCGCCGCUCCAGGAGGCCGGCUCCAGCCCCUACAUGUCGUCGCUCUGCUCGCCGUCCGGCAUCCCCGCCGUCAAGCGAUAUGGCGACAGGUUCAUCCCCAACAGGUCCGCGAUGGACAUGGACAUGACGCACUACCUUCUGACGGAGCCGAGGAAGGACAAGGAGAACGCGGCGACACCGUCGCCGGCCAGGGAGGCGUACCGGAGGUUGCUACCUAAGAAGCUGUUUAACAACCACACCAGGAUCCUCGCUUUCCAGAACAGGCUGCCUGAGCCUGCCAACAACUUCCUCGCAGAGCUGCGUGCCGAUGCGGCUUCCAUCCAGGACAAACCGGCGAAGCAGCGUCGAUACAUCCCUCAGUCCCCAGAGAGGAUGCUGGAUGCGCCAGGCCUCGUUGAUGAUUACUGCCUUAACCUGCUGGACUGGGGGAGCGCCAAUGUGCUGUCGAUUGCACUGGGCAACACGGUAUACCUUUGGGACGCCUCAAGUGGCUCGACGUCUGAGCUCGUUACCGUUGAUGAGGACGAUGGCCCUGUCACUAGUGUUAGCUGGGCUCCUGAUGGCCGCCACAUUGCUAUUGGCCUCGACUCCUCAGCUGUCCAGCUCUGGGAUUCCACCUCUAACCGACUGCGGAGAAUGCUGCAAGGUGUGCAUGAGUCGAGAGUUGGUUCACUGGCAUGGAACAACAACAUCCUGACCGCUGGUGAUAUGGACGGCAAGAUUGUGAACAAUGAUAUGAGGAUUAGGAACCAUGCCGUGCAGACAUACCAUGGGCACCACCAGGAGGUGUGUGGACUUACGUGGUCAGGAUCAGGGAAGAGGUUGGCCAGUGGUGGGAACGACAGCCUCCUCCACAUAUGGGAUGUGUCUAUGGCAUCGUCUGCACAAUCUACAGGUCGCACCCAAUGGUUACACAGGCUUGACGACAACUUGGCUGCCGUGAAGGGGCUUGCAUGGUGCCCAUUUCAGAGCAACCUGCUGGCAUCCGGCGGUGGCGUAGGUGACAGAUGCAUCAAGUUUUGGAACACACACAUUGGCGCAUGCCUUAACUCUGUUGACACUGGGUCACAAGUGUGUGCACUGCUCUAG
rnacentral:rRNA from 1 species